CGCAAGGGCCGGCCUGCGCCAGGCUGGCCCCGACAGAAGCGUGGUGAGCAGAGCUUUCCCGGAAGGAGCAGGCUGAGCAUUUGGUGCCCAGUUCCGCCCGGGGACAAGGUGGCACUUCUGGUGGCCCUACCCAGGCGGGUCCCACUUGCUUCUCGGGCGCUCCGGGCCGGGCGUGGAGCGCUACCCAGUCGGAAGUGUCGAAGGAGAAAGCGAGGGGCUAAUUUUGUCGCUUUCUUUCGUGCCGGGUUUGCCCCUCGGGUCAAGAACGUGGCCGCGGUCGGACCCCAGCGUGGACCAUUUGCAUUCGCCUGGGUUUUAAAUUCUUCACUACAUCCGAGGGUCGGAGCAGAUGUAGCUACAGAAGGGACAACGCGUUUUCGUGAAAUCUAUCUCUUGCAACAUAUUAAAUCUUCUGGUCAGAAGAGAAGGAGAAAUUCAAAGGCAGUUUAGAGGAGGAGAGAGAAACCACGCUGGAGACAAAUGCGAUCCGUGCAGGUGUUGGAGCAGCUUGCGUUAUAAUUGUAUCUAGCGAAAAGGUUGCCUUUAUUACCCGUAAUGAUCGAACAAAAGUCACCGUAAUUAAACGUCUGGUUUUCUCCGAUGACUGAGAGGUGCGUGUCUGAAAGGCGCCGGGUACAGCGAGGGACUUCAGAAAUGGUUAACAAGACGCCCCGUUCUUUGAAUAGUGGCUUUGUCUUAUGGGGGGGGGCGGGAGGAGAAGAGACAGAGCGAGAACAGUUCUCUAAUUUUCAUUGCCCCAAACCAGAGAUUGAUUGAUUGCGACAACAGUUUUAUUGUACUCGGGGAGGGGGUUGCUGCAGGUUUAUAGAAACUGAUUUACUUUCGUUUGGAAGUAAAAUCAUAUGCAACAGUCUCCCGUUGGAAGGUUGGACCUCAGCUCCUGUUAAUACCAUUAGUGACACAGGAUCGAAUUUCAAAUGAAGCCUGGUGACAAUUACAGACGGAAACAGAUGCCCUUGGAAAUUUAGGUCAAGUGUUCAAGAUUCUGGUUUCACGGUCAAGGUUGUCUUGGGGGUAACCUUGAAGAACACUCAUAAAUCUGUCCUCCUCUCCCAACUAGGGAUGCACCUUCCGGGGGUGGUGAUCAGAGAAGAGGGGAGCAGAAAAUUUAUUUAGAGGGUCCUCAGGUCACAGAAAACAGAAGAGAUGCCGACAUGUUGUAAAACCUGGCAAGUGUGCUGGGCUGGACAGUGUGAGUGUGUGUGGUGGGGGACACCAGCUACUCCUGGGGGCUCCAGGGAAGAACAACUGUGCGGACCGGAGUUGCAAAGACCUGAACUCCCGCGUCCACUUAUUAGUCCCCAGCAGGCAUACGUGGAGGCUGUCCCUUAGGCUCAAAGCCUUGUUUUUACCCAUCCGUAAAAUGGGAAUCAUGGUCCCGGCCUGGUCUUUCCAGAAGGGUGGUGGCGACGAUUAAGUGUGGUAACGAAAUGGAAGGUAUUAUUCUGAAAUUGCAGCCCCCUUCCUUUGCAUUUUAAUCACUUGCCCCUCAGCUAAGUGAAAAAGGCGUCGUGUCUCUUUCCUUCUCCCCGCGGGAACCCUCCCUGAGAGCCCGCCGGCUCUGGCUCUGGCAGCACCAACGCCUUCCUUCAAGGGUAUAAAAUCAUGUUGUCUUUUACCCAGCUCUAGAUCCCAACCGGCGUCUUUAAGCGUGGCGAUCUUCGGGGUUUACGUCCCUCUGGUGGGUGUUUUCCACUUGACAACUCUUUUAAAGACAUAGAACCAUAUUUUAUUUACUGCCUACUAUAAAUUAUUUACUAGCAGGCUGAGGUAAUUCCAUUAAAGCCGCAUGGUUUGUUUAUACUAAAUAGUUAUCUGGGGACUCCUCGCCAGCCUUAGAGCUGCGAGGCUCCGGGGAGAUGGGGACGGUCCGCACGGGCAAGGGAUGCCCACGGAAAGGAAAGGGGUGCAAUAGAAACGAAAAUAGCCUUAUUUCUAUUGAUAAUUCAUUAAAAAUUAAAUACAAUGUAAUAAUCGUCGUUUUUGUUUGGUGUGAGGUGUCAUUACCGCCCCCGCUACCCCUCCCCACCCCCGACCCCGUGUGGACUGGCUCACACUUGAUAGCAAGAUGACUUUCUUUCAAGGAACUAACUCGACGGUGGCAUGAAUCAGAUUUAGGGGAGGAUGGAGGAUUUAGCUGGGGGGAAAUGCAGGGGGCCAUUCCUGAGAUGAAGGGAGGAGGAGGGGAGGGGAAGUCCGGAGCUUUUUGCAGGGCUUGCUGAGGAAAGAAAGAAAACACUGCGAACUUUGCCUCGGGUCCCCUCCCCCAACACGUGUAUCCAGUCAGAAAAGAGAGAGUAGAAAAAACCAGCCUGAGGGAAGGACCAGGCUUUAUAGAUUAGCUGCACGCGCGCGCGUGUGUGCCUGUGCGUGUGUGUGUGUGCGCGCGCGCGCAUGUUUCUCUCUCCCCAAGAUUUUAGCACUGGCCCACUGAGUUACUUCUUUCUACUUUUCUGACUCUGUGUAUGUUAUGUAUAUAUAAAACAAUUUUUUUCUAUCUCUCAACUUAGAGACCUCUCUGGAAAUACCAAGCACCCGAGAGAUAAAUUGGCCUUUGGGGGAGGGGAAAAGGGUUCGGGCUACCGACCAUGAAAUUUUUUGUCUAAACUCGCUGCCUUCAGUUAUGUUGGCCUUGGAAAGGGUAGGGGGAUUUAUCUAUUUCUGUUAAAGGCUUUUUAAAAAGGGGCUCUAGAGGAAUGUGGUAACAGCGUGUUAGUUUCCCACCUGGCUUUGCAGAUGGGGAUUUCAGAAUGGUUAGGUUAUUGCCAUAACACAGGAAGAGAUAAACAAGACACCUGGACAAAAAGCCAGUUAUCUAAAGCAACUCGGAAGUGAUCUACAAUAAAUAGAAAGGCCUCUUGUCUUGAGUAUUUUUU
rnacentral:lncRNA from 1 species